rnacentral:tRNA from 1 species
UUAGCUUGGUUGGUGAGAGCAUGGUGCUAAUAACACCAAGGUCAAGGGUUCGAUCCCCGUA